rnacentral:snoRNA from 1 species
GGAUUGUGUUGACCCCCACAAAUGCAUUCCUUGGGAAUCUGAACAAAAUGCAUGAGCAGUCCCUAUGGUCUCCUCAUUGGAAUUAAGUUCC